rnacentral:rRNA from 1 species
AGGACGAACGCUGGCGGCGUGCUUAACACAUGCAAGUCGAGCGGUAAGGCCCUUUCGGGGGUACACGAGCGGCGAACGGGUGAGUAACACGUGAGUAAUCUGCCCUCCACUUGGGGAUAAGCUUCGGAAACGGGGUCUAAUACCUGAUACGACAACUACCUGCAUGGGUUGGUUGUGGAAAGUUUUUCGGUGGGGGAUGUGCUCGCGGCCUAUCAGCUUGUUGGUGGGGUAAUGGCCUACCAAGGCUUCGACGGGUAGCCGGCCUGAGAGGGUGACCGGCCACACUGGGACUGAGACACGGCCCAGACUCCUACGGGAGGCAGCAGUGGGGAAUUUGGACAAUGGGCGCAAGCCUGAUCCAGCAAUGCCGCGUGCAGGAUGAAGGCCUUCGGUUGUAACUGUCUUUGUACGGAACGAAACGUUCUCUCUAAUACGAGGGCUAAGUGACGGUAACCGUAAGAAUAAGCACCGGCUAACUACGUGCCAGCAGCCGC